rnacentral:sRNA from 12 species
GAAGGAUGAGCGAGUAGCGACCGCUCAAUAUGCCGUCAUGCGUUUUAUUGAAUAAAGCCCAGGUACAGGAUGACCGCCUGGUAAGUCAAUUUGUAAAAUCGCCUG